CCUGCUUCCAACACGGCCAUCGACGCAGUCGCCUAUCCAGCUCAAACCCUACGCGAAGUGGCGAAAGAGAGUGAGACAAAGAGAGAGCGAGAGAGAUCGAGCGAGCGGAAAAUUUCGUAGUUCGAAUAUCAGAUCUCAAUGCGACGAUCGUGGAGCUUCGCAAGAAUCCAACACGACGCGGUGAUGUUCAUGUAGAGGAUGGAAGAAAACCUACAUCGCCUUCUAUAGUGGAUUUUAUAUUCCGAUCUUCAGAUUUGGUGUCCACCUGACAGGGCGACUGCUUGGCACGAGCAAUGACGCUGAUUUCAAGCUUCGAAUCGAAUUUUUUAGCACUUUGUGUCGAUGGUGUUUGUCGUUUCUGAUACAAUUCUUUGACUGCGUCCGUUCCUCUUUCGAAAAGCGGUUGGAAAUAUUGCGCUGGAGUCACUGUAGGCACAUUCGCGAACUCCAUUCUGGAUUUCUGCCGAUUGUAUCUCUUGAACUCUCGAUUUUCUGCAUUAUUGAUCGUGUGGAUACGCCUUUCUAUACUUCUCAGUUAAGGUUUGAUUCUUCAGCAAUCAAUUCUUCAUUGCUGCGAUUAGCGGAGAGUCGCGAAAUGGCGACGCUGCGGCAGAAGCAGCAGUAUUUUGUGUUUGUCCAUGGGGCUCAGCACGGGGCGUGGUGCUGGUUUAAGACCAUCGAGCUUCUUGAGCAAGCUGGACAUCUCACCAAGGCCGUGGACUUGGUGAGUGCAGGCGAUAGCUCUGUGAACGCCGAUGACGUGGAGUGUUUCGACCAUUACAACCAGCCUCUCUACGAGGUGCUCGAAUCCCUUGGCACUAAUCAGAAGGUUAUUCUCGUUUGUCACAGCAUGGGUGGCACAACUGUAGCGCGGGCAUGUGAGCGAUAUCCUCUUCGCAUUCAUGUGGCAGUCUACAUAGCUGGUGCUAUGCUCAAGAGUGGAAUGUCGCAGAGUGAAAAUCACGACGAGGUAUUCAGAGAAACAUCGAAAGAUGCACAGUUCCACUUCGGCAAGGGGGAACAAAAUCCUCCAACCUCGUGCUGGCCAUCCUUAGAGAUUGUUACGAAAGCUUAUUAUAAUUUGUGCUCCUCUGAGGACAUUCAGUUUGCAGCGAAGCGUUUGGGAGGAGUACCAAUAAUGUGUGACGAUGCCACAAUAUUCACAGCGAACUAUCAUAGUGUCCCGCGUGUGUACAUUCGGACCUCUUUUGACAAAGCUAUAGCGCCUCAUUUUCAGGAUCGGUACGUAUUGCAAAACCCUCCAACAGAGGUCCUUCAUUUAGAAUCAGACCACAGUCCAUUUUUCUCUGCUACGAGGGAGCUUAAUGAACAUCUGUUGUAUGUUGCUGCUACGUAUGCAAACUAAUGCUGCUACACUCGCCUUCUAAGAAGGGUUACGAAGGCUUGUGGUUGAUAUAGCUUUUUGUAAAAUGGAGGGUAGGUUGCACAAAGUAAGUCCACUUUAGUCGAUACCUAAGAAAUUUAUCCUUUGCAUCGAUGAGUCAUUGGUUUAAUAUUCACAGUAGGUCUGACUUGCAAUCCAUGAUCGUGUCUGUUUCAAUACAAGUGACUAGUGCUUCAGCUUUAUUUAAUAGGUAAUAUUACAUUUAGAGACGCUUGUGCUUCCUAUUACUCUAUUUCCGUUCUGUACAAAUCUGCGUCCCAACGAAUCCUGAUCAAACUUCCGGAAGAUCGAGUGUCUUCCUGGCUUGAGAAAAUUUGUUCAACAGCAUUCGAAAUUCCUUGAAACAUCUUGAGCAUAAUUUCUUAAAUACAGUCGAGCAAAAUUGAAUGGUGUAUCUCUCCUCCUGCAUCUGCUGUGUAACCUCUACAGGGAAUGGUGUAGUUGAAGAGUCUAUCCGGGAUGAAGUCAACAAGAGCAACUAUGGAGCAUUUUGGAACCACCAAAGGACAACAAGAAAUCACAAGAAUUGAAUUACAAAAACCAGGAAGCAAUAAUCAACAUUUUGGUUUACUCCAUCAGACUAGAUUUAUUGGGAAACUUAAUCAGCUUUCACGAUCCAAAGAGCCUUUAGGAUUUUCUUGAAGAGACUUAUGACAUCAAUAUAGACAGUAGGAAGUAUCAUCUGAAGAACAAGUUUUUAGUUGUCACCAUAAACGAGGAGUCUAGAUUCAAGUUAUAUUUCAACAAGUUCAAAACCAUAUUGUCUCAGCUUUCAUUUUUUGGCGUUACCAUUGCAGAUUUUGACUUAGUUCAGAUUGUAAUGAAGAACAUACCACAUAGUUACGACCACUUCCUGCAAUAUUAUACAAGUGCAGGUAAGUAUCUAUAGUUCAA